AUUGAACGCUGGCGGCAUGCCCUACACAUGCAAGUCGAACGGCAGCACGGGUGCUUGCACCUGGUGGCGAGUGGCGAACGGGUGAGUAAUACAUCGGAACACGUCCUGUAGUGGGGGAUAGCCCGGCGAAAGCCGGAUUAAUACCGCAUACGAUCUACGGAUGAAAGCGGGGGACCUUCGGGCCUCGCGCUAUAGGGUUGGCCGAUGGCUGAUUAGCUAGUUGGUGGGGUAAAGGCCUACCAAGGCGACGAUCAGUAGCUGGUCUGAGAGGACGACCAGCCACACUGGGACUGAGACACGGCCCAGACUCCUACGGGAGGCAGCAGUGGGGAAUUUUGGACAAUGGGCGAAAGCCUGAUCCAGCAAUGCCGCGUGUGUGAAGAAGGCCUUCGGGUUGUAAAGCACUUUUGUCCGGAAAGAAAUCCUUGGCCCUAAUACGGUCGGGGGAUGACGGUACCGGAAGAAUAAGCACCGGCUAACUACGUG
rnacentral:rRNA from 1 species